ACAGCAGUAGCCGCGGGAAUACGGAGGGUGCAAGCGUUAAUCGGAAUUACUGGGCGUAAAGCGCACGCAGGCGGUUUGUUAAGUCAGAUGUGAAAUCCCCGAGCUUAACUUGGGAACUGCAUUUGAAACUGGCAAGCUAGAGUCUUGUAGAGGGGGGUAGAAUUCCAGGUGCAGCGGUGAAAUGCGUAGAGACCUGGAGGAAUACCGGUGGCGAAGGCGGCCCCCUGGACAAAGACUGACGCUCAGGUGCGAAAGCGUGGGGAGCAAACAGGUUUAGAUACCCCUGUAGUCCCUGUCUCUUAUAC
rnacentral:rRNA from 1 species